rnacentral:rRNA from 1 species
AACCGCGGUUAUACGAGAGGCCCAAGUUGACAGACCCCGGCGUAAAGGGUGGUUAAGGUAGACUAAAACUAAAGCCGAACACCUUCAGGGCAGUCAUACGCAUCCCGAAGCCACGAAGCCCCACCACGAAAGUGGCUUUAUUCCCCCCCCCCGACCCCACGAAAGCUAUGAAA